rnacentral:rRNA from 1 species
AUUGAACGCUGGCGGCAGGCCUAACACAUGCAAGUCGAGCGAGCGGCGGACGGGUGCGUAAUGCCUGGGAAUUGCCCAGUCGAGGGGGAUAACAGUUGGAAACGACUGCUAAUACCGCAUACGAUUGGAUUGCCCAGGUGGGAUUAGCUAGUAGGUGGUGUAAUGGCGCACAAAGGCGACGCACCCUAGCUGGUCUGUGAGGAUGAUCAGCCACACUGGAACUGAGAAUCGGUCAAGACUCAUACGGGAGGCAGAAGUGGUGAAGAUUGAACAAUGGGGGAAACCCUGAUGCAGUCAUGCCGCGUGUGUGAAGAAGGCCUUCGGGUUGUAAAGCACUUGCAGCGAGGAGGCGUUACGCGCAGAAGAAGCACCGGCUAACUCCGUGCCAGCAGCCGCGGUAAUAC